AGGGACGGACUGAUUCUUGACGACAACCGUCAAGCUGAACCUGGAACGACCAGUCGCCGCUGCUUCGUUCUCUUGAAUGACACCUGAUCAUGACUGAGAGAGUCACCGAACACUUAUAGCGAGGGACUCAGUGUCACACCGGCUUAGGACCAGUGAGGAGGUGAGCAACCGGUGCUCGUGGAGGCCCGUAUUGACGACUGAAGAAAUGUGGCCUGAACUGGCGUAUGGGCUCGUCCACCCCCUCCUCCCUUUCCAGUCUGGGGUAAGGGCUGCUUCGUGGUGUCUCUCCAGGUCCGGUGUUCUUCGCGGCUUCCCUGAAAUAUAGAUUUACGGAGUCAUUGGAAAGAUUACUUAGUGUCCUCACUGAGCGACGACAGGUGUGGGAAGUGUGGUGCCGUCUACAUUUGGUUGGGUUGGCAUCACCAGGCAAUGUGAACUCAAAGAGUCUGUAACCUGCACCAUGCAACCCUCUGCAACAGAGGACUACAGUGCACGCGAUGGUACCAUGGCAGCUCCCAUGAUACUCGGGACACUCGACUACUUGACCAAAGG